rnacentral:rRNA from 1 species
ACAGCAGCAGCCGCGGGAAUACGUAGGUCCCGAGUGUUGUCCGGAUUUAUUGGGCGUAAAGCGAGCGCAGGCGGUUUGAUAAGUCUGAAGUUAAAGGCUGUGGCUCAACCAUAGUUCGCUUUGGAAACUGUCAAACUUGAGUGCAGAAGGGGAGAGUGGAAUUCCAUGCGUAGCGGUGAAAUGCGUAGAUAUAUGGAGGAACACCGGUGGCGAAAGCGGCUCUCUGGUCUGUAACUGACGCUGAGGCUCGAAAGCGUGGGGAGCGAACAGGAUUAGAUACCCCGGUAGUCCCUGUCUCUUAUACA